AGAGGGUGCAAGCGUUAAUCGGAAUUACUGGGCGUAAAGGGCCUGUAGGUGGUUUCUUAAGUUAGAUGUGAAAGCCCUGGGCUUAACCUGGGAACUGCAUCUAAAACUGGGUGACUAGAGUAUGGUAGAGGGAAGUGGAAUUUCUAGUGUAGCGGUGAAAUGCGUAGAUAUUAGAAAGAACACCAGUGGCGAAGGCGACUUCCUGGACCAAUACUGACACUGAGGGGCGAAAGCGUGGGGAGCAAACAGGAUUAGAUACCCUGGUAGUCCACGCCGUAAACGAUGAGAACUAACUGUUGGGCAGUUUUAACUGCUUAGUAGUGCAGCUAACGCGAUAAGUUCUCCGCCUGGGGAGUACGGCCGCAA
rnacentral:rRNA from 1 species